rnacentral:rRNA from 1 species
UACGUAGGGCGCAAGCGUUGUCCGGAAUUAUUGGGCGUAAAGAGCUCGUAGGCGGUCUGUCGCGUCUGCCGUGAAAACCCGAGGCUUAACCUCGUGGCUUGCGGUGGAUACGGGCAGACUAGAGGUAGGUAGGGGAGAAUGGAAUUCCCGGUGUAGCGGUGAAAUGCGCAGAUAUCGGGAGGAACACCGGUGGCGAAGGCGGUUCUCUGGGCCGUACCUGACGCUGAGGAGCGAAAGCGUGGGGAGCAAACAGG